ensembl:lncRNA
GAUUGGGGUUCGGAUGUGGGAUAUGGAAUUAGGGCUGUGGGAUCGGGAUUAUGGUGUGGGAUUGGAAGGUGGGGUUGGGGUUGGGAUAAGGUCUGGGAUAUGGGAUUAGGGAUAUCGAUUGAGUUUGGGAUGUGGGAUUGGGAUGUGGGGUAUUGGAUUCGGGGUGUGGGAUUGGGAUUUGCAUUGGGAUGGGGGCUGUGGGGUUGAGGUUGGGGUUAGGGUUGGGAUAUAGGAUUAGUGAUUUGGUAUUGGGAUUUCCAUUGGGAUGGGGGCUGUGGGUCUGGGAUGGGGGCUGUGGGGCAGGGAUGGGGGCUGUUGGCCUGGAUGUUGGGUUGGGAUCGAGGUUAGGAUGUGGGAGAUAGGAUGAGGGGUGUGGGAUUGGGAUUUGCAUUGGGAUGUGGAAUGUGGGGCCGGGAUGUGGUCUGUUGGGGUGGGAUGUGGGCUGUGGGGCCGGGAUGGGGGUUGGGAUUGAGGUCAGGAUGUGGGAUGUGACGGAACGUGCCCUGUUCACAGGUGGGGCGUGUGGUGUUGUGGGGAAGCGGCGCAGAUGGAAAGCUGCCGUGUGGAGCCCCACAGGACGAGUUGCAGAGGCCCCUGAAGGAAAAGGAGAAGGAAG